rnacentral:tRNA from 1 species
GGGCCUAUAGCUCAGUUGGUUAGAGCACACGCCUGAUAAGCGUGAGGUCGGUGGUUCAAGUCCAUUUAGGCCUACCA